GAUCUUUGACAUACUUGAUACGAACAAUGGCAACGAAAAUUACUCCGCAGGUGAAAUGCCUGCACGUGAUUAACCCAUUGUCGUUAGCCUGCGACCUAAUGUGCGCAGGGCGAAGCCGUGGCAGGCACGGAAUACCUCGAGGCUCGCAAGCCUCCUGACGACAC
rnacentral:sRNA from 12 species